ACUCCUACGGGAGGCAGCAGUGGGGAAUAUUGCACAAUGGGGGAAACCCUGAUGCAGCCAUGCCGCGUGUGUGAAGAAGGCCUUCGGGUUGUAAAGCACUUUCAGUAGGGAGGAAGGUAGUGUAGUUAACACCUGCAUUAUUUGACGUUACCUACAGAAGAAGCACCGGCUAACUCCGUGCCAGCAGCCGCGGUAAUACGGAGGGUGCGAGCGUUAAUCGGAAUUACUGGGCGUAAAGCGCAUGCAGGCGGCCUGUUAAGUCAGAUGUGAAAGCCCGGGGCUUAACCUCGGAAUUGCAUUUGAAACUGGCAGGCUAGAGUCUUGUAGAGGGGGGUAGAAUUUCAGGUGUAGCGGUGAAAUGCGUAGAGAUCUGAAGGAAUACCAGUGGCGAAGGCGGCCCCCUGGACAAAGACUGACGCUCAGAUGCGAAAGCGUGGGGAGCAAAACAGGAUUAGAUACCCUGGUAGCACAGAG
rnacentral:rRNA from 1 species